rnacentral:rRNA from 1 species
CCGCCGUCACAUCAUGAAAGCCGUUUGUACCCGAAGUCGUCGCGCUAACCGCAAGGAGGCAGAUGCCGAAGGUAUGGAGUGGUGAUUGGAGUG